AAGUACAUUGGCUGGAUCCUUGAGAGUGCUCCACUCUCAAUCCUGGAAAGUCACGAACUGUCUGCCAUUACUAUGGAGUAUAGGAGGGAGUGUGGAAAGGACAGUGUGCUGCAGUCUCUGACUGCCGUGUCUGGCAAUGGGAUAGGAAAUAUAGGAAAUGCUGGUGAGAUUGAGUGCCAGCACUUGCUUCGACUUGAGGAUGGG
rnacentral:misc_RNA from 1 species